rnacentral:rRNA from 1 species
UACGAAGGGUGCAAGCGUUACUCGGAAUUACUGGGCGUAAAGCGUGCGUAGGUGGUUCGUUAAGUCUGUCGUGAAAGCCCCGGGCUCAACCUGGGAAUGGCGAUGGAUACUGGCGGGCUAGAGUGCGGUAGAGGAGAGUGGAAUUCCCGGUGUAGCAGUGAAAUGCGUAGAGAUCGGGAGGAACACCGGUGGCGAAGGCGGCUCUCUGGACCACUACUGACGCUGAGGCGCGAAAGCUAGGGGAGCAAACAGG